UUUGGCUCCUAAUGAACUGUUGGUAUUUUUUCACCAAAAGCAUUUGAUUCAAAGGCAAGAAUUCUACACAUUAGGAGAGCCUUCUGAAAUCAUGAGCAAUAGUAUUUUGGAUUGCUGGGCGUUGCUUCUGAAUGAAAAUCAGAAAUAUUUGAAGGAUGGACCUCGGAAAUUGUACUUUGGUUCUUCAAUUAGUGUGAGUUGUUUAAUUAUUUCAAUGUUUAUACAUAUUUUUACUUUUUACUGUUUUUUUUAUUUGUUAAAAUAUUAUGUAGGUUACAAUAGUAGAAGCUGCUGGCAGUGAUGACAAUUCACAAAUAAUGGACAAUGUUUAUCAAGAUAUUUUUACCUUGUCUUUGGGGCAAUCACUAUUGCUUAUUUGUGGUGAAUUUGACUAAAGAAAAAAUUCAGUUUAUUGAUAAUCUGAAUUAUGAUGAGGAUAAUCGUAUCUUUUUGAAAAAGUUGUCUAGUCUCCUGUGUGAUAUGAUCAGUACCUACUUUGAUCAAAGGCUUAC